rnacentral:siRNA from 1 species
UGAUUGGUAAUGUGUCACGUA